rnacentral:rRNA from 1 species
ACAAUGCAGGAAACUGUGAUAAGGGAACCCCGAGUGCCCGUAUACGCGGGCUGUCCAGGUGUUUAAAAAGCAUUUGAAGAAAGGGCCGGGCAAGACCGGUGCCAGCCGCCGCGGUAAUACCGGCGGCUCGAGUGGUGGCCACUUUUAUUGGGCUUAAAGCGUUCGUAGCUGGGUUGUUAAGUCUCUUGGGAAAUCUCACGGCUUAACCGNNNGGCGUCUAAGAGAUACUGGCAACCUAGGGACCGGAAGAGGUGAGAGGUACUCCAGGGGUAGGAGUGAAAUCCUGUAAUCCUUGGGGGACCACCUGUGGCGAAGGCGUCUCACCAGGACGGCUCCGACAGUGAGGGACGAAAGCUGGGGGAGCAAACCGGAUUAGAUACCCGGGUAGUCCCAGCCGUAAACGAUGCGCGUUAGGUGUAUCGGUGACCACGAGUC